AACGCGAAGAACCUUACCUGGGCUCGAAAUGUAGUGGACCGGGGUAGAAAUAUCCCUUCCUAGCAAUAGGCUGCUAUAUAGGUGCUGCAUGGCUGUCGUCAGCUCGUGUCGUGAGAUGUUGGGUUAAGUCCCGCAACGAGCGCAACCCUUAUUACCAGUUGCCAUCAUUUAGUUGGGCACUCUGGUGAGACCGCCUCGGAUAACGGGGAGGAAGGUGGGGAUGACGUCAAGUCCUCAUGGCCUUUAUGUCCAGGGCUACACACGUGCUACAAUGGCCGGUACAAACCGUCGCAAACCCGUGAGGGGGAGCUAAUCGGAGAAAGCCGGCCUCAGUUCGGAUUGGAGUCUGCAACUCGACUCCAUGAAGCUGGAAUCGCUAGUAAUCGCAGAUCAGAACGCUGCGGUGAAUACGUUCCCGGGCCUUGUACACACCGACUGUAC
rnacentral:rRNA from 1 species